CGUGCUUGCACUGAUUUCAACAAUGAAGCGAGUGGCGAACUGGUGAGUAACACGUGGGAAAUCUGCCCAGAAGCAGGGGAUAACACUUGGAAACAGGUGCUAAUACCGUAUAACAACAAAAUCCGCAUGGAUUUUGUUUGAAAGGUGGCUUCGGCUAUCACUUCUGGAUGAUCCCGCGGCGUAUUAGUUAGUUGGUGAGGUAAAGGCCCACCAAGACGAUGAUACGUAGCCGACCUGAGAGGGUAAUCGGCCACAUUGGGACUGAGACACGGCCCAAACUCCUACGGGAGGCAGCAGUAGGGAAUCUUCCGCAAUGGGCGAAAGCCUGACGGAGCAACGCCGCGUGAGUGAUGAAGGGUUUCGGCUCGUAAAACUCUGUUAUUAGGGAAGAACAAAUGUGUAAGUAACUGUGCAUGUCUUGACGGUACCUAAUCAGAAAGCCACGGCUAACUACGUGC
rnacentral:rRNA from 1 species